rnacentral:lncRNA from 1 species
UUGCUGUCAACGCACGGUUUUAAAGGCAAAACCAAAUGAUAAAUUACAUGUGUGCCAGGAUCAAGUUUCACACAUGCGAGGACUUCAAUAAAUACCAUAAAUGGUGCCAAAGCGUAAAGAGAGUAAUUUAUUACAUGACCGAAUGUCUAUAAAUUGAAUAGCAAAAUAAGUCUUCAUUCUAGCAGCGGGAUUCCAACGAUGACGACGACUCCACAGGCAAUUGACUGGUGGCACACGUACGCCUAGAACUUCUCAAAGUCUUCACGAACCUCCUCAAAAUAGUCUUGGUCUGAGCAGCAGUUUUAGCAAGGGUGAAUACACUUAUAGUUGGUACUCAGCAAGCGUGGGGAGUGUGUAGUGUAAGGCUAUGCAGGGAUAAGCUGAGGUUUAAUAAAAUGUCAGCAUUUCAAUUACUAAGUACAAGUUUAUACCACCCACAUUAAACAUGAACAUAAAUAAAUAUAACAGCAACAAACAAUAUCAAUUUUAUUCAGCUUUCGAUGGAUUAAUCAUGUGAGGGUUCAGACCGCUCUUGACCGUGAGCACGGCUGAUUGAUGAGUUUUAGACACUCUGCAAAGGUUGUAGAUCUUUACCCACAAGUCGUGUUUUCCAAAAUGCCCGAGUUAAUUACUCCCUUAAACACUUCCGAGGUGAGUGGCA